rnacentral:misc_RNA from 1 species
AACGCACAUUGCGCCCCCUGGUAUUCCGGGGGGCAUGCCUGUCCGAGCGUCAUGUCUCCCUUCAAGCGCGGCUUGUGUGUUGGGUGCUGUCCCCCCGGGGACACGCCCGAAAGGCAGUGGCGGCGUCGCGUCGGGUCCUCGAGCGUAUGGGGCUUUGUCACCCGCUCGGGAGGGACCUGCGGGCGCUGGUCUUCCUUGCACAACCCCCCCGGCGGGGUUGUCUCUCUGGUUGACCUCGGAUCAGGUAGGGUUACCCGCUGAACUUAA